CGAGCCGGCCGGACGGCCGCGUCAGGGCGCUUCGCGUCCUGCCGAGGAAGGUCCGGGCUCCACAGGGCAGGGUGGUCGGUAACGCCGACCCGGGGUGACCCGCGGGAAAGUGCCACAGAGAGCAGACCGCCCCUCCUCGGAGGGGUAAGGGUGAAAGGGUGGUGUAAGAGACCACCAGCGCCCACGGCGACGUGGGCGGCUAGGCAAACCCCACCCGGAGCAAGGUCAAGAAGGGGUGUUUCCGUCUGGAAGCACCCCGCGCACGGCGUUCGAGGGCGGCCCGCCCGAGUCGUGCGGGUAGACCGCUUGAGGCCACGAGCAAUCGUGGUCCUAGAUGGAUGGCCGUCGGUCUGUGGAGCAACCCUCCACAGACGCACAAAACCCGGCCUACAGGCCGACUCGUCCG
rnacentral:RNase_P_RNA from 1 species